GGUUGGAUGGUGUAAAGGUAGCACACAAGAUUCUGAUUCUUGUAAUCGGGGUUCGAUUCCCCGUCUGACCU